GCCUGGCUAGCUCAGUCGUAGAGCAUGUGACUCUUUUUUUUUUUUUUUUUUUUGAGCAUGUGACUCUUGAUCUCAACAUUGUAGGUUCAAGCCCUAUGUUAGACA
rnacentral:tRNA from 1 species